GGUGUGUUUGGCCCAGCGGCAUUGGGAGUAGGUCUGGGCGCGCCAACUGCCGUCGUAAAUCGAAAUGGCCCCGGGUUCGAUUCCCGGGGCCAUCG